CAGAUUAUAGCUUAUAUUAAAGUUUAUUAUUUACAUUAAUAAGAAAAUUAAUUAUUUUUUCUGA
rnacentral:tRNA from 1 species